rnacentral:rRNA from 1 species
AUUGAACGCUGGCGGCAUGCCUUACACAUGCAAGUCGAACGGCAGCACGGGAGCAAUCCUGGUGGCGAGUGGCGAACGGGUGAGUAAAGUAUCGGAACGUACCUUUCAGUGGGGGAUAACGUAGCGAAAGUUACGCUAAUACCGCCUAUUCUGUGCGCAGGAAAGCAGGGGAUCGCAAGACCUUGCGCUGAUUGAGCGGCCGAUAUCAGAUUAGCUAGUUGGUGAGGUAAAGGCUCACCAAGGCGACGAUCUGUAGCGGGUCUGAGAGGAUGAUCCGCCACACUGGAACUGAGACACGGUCCAGACUCCUACGGGAGGCAGCAGUGGGGAAUUUUGGACAAUGGGGGCAACCCUGAUCCAGCCAUGCCGCGUGAGUGAAGAAGGCCUUCGGGUUGUAAAGCUCUUUCGGCCGGGAAGAAAUCGUAUCAGCUAAUACCUGGUGCGGAUGACGGUACCGGCAUAAGAAGCACCGGCUAACUACGUGCCAGCCGCCGCAGUAAUAC